rnacentral:RNase_P_RNA from 1 species
UUCCGGGUGACCGCCGUCUCGUUUAGAGAGGGAGGAAAGUCCGGGCUCCUCCGGACAGAGUGCUGGGUAACACCCAGGCCCCAUUAAUGGGGACGGAAAGUGGCACAGAAACGAUACCGCCCAGCUAGCCGAUUAUAUGUUGGCGCAGUUGUGGUAAGGGUGAAAUCGGACGGUAAGAGCGUCCGGUCGUAUGCGGUGACGCAUCGACGGUCAAACCCCACUUGGAGCAAGGCCGAAUAGGGGGACUAUGGGAGUCCGGCUCGUCCCCGGGUUGGCUGCUCGACCUCAAUGGAGACAUUAGCUUUAAUAAAGCUCGGGGAAUUUUAUUCCCUGGAGGCUAGAUAGAUGGUCACCGGUCUAUGGUACUUGUAUCAUAGAUUACAGGACCCGGCUUAUAGGUUCGUUC